UUUAUAGUUGCGAACAUUCUCACCUCAAAGUCCUAACCCAUACACAAACCCGAUUCUUCGAUGUCUUUUAGAAGGAGCCUCAAUUGUGAAUUGAUUUCAAAUGAGGAAGCUUCAAUAGGGAAAACUAGAAAAAUAAAACAAACUACAACCAGCGAAAAUCUCGACCAUGAAAAGAAAAUAGUGUCGGGCCUGUAAAGAAAGCAAGUGCGAAGAAGACAAUAUAUCAUAAUUUUUUGUUUAAAUUUUAUCCCAUUAAUUUGUGGAUUGGACUAUGGGUACGCUUUACGUUGAUAUUGGUGGUUGCUGCAAUGUGUUAUUAGGCAAUGGAAACAUGAUAUCCACAAUUGAGAUUGUUGGAAAUAUCUUAAAAUUCAUGUUACCCAUAAAAGUCAUUUUCUUAUAAGCAUGCAUUUUGUCCAAUUCAGUUUCAACUUAUAAUAGAGACAAAAUUAUUUGUUUUGGUGUUAUAUAUUUAGUUGAUGCAUAUAAUUAGCUUGAUAAUUUUACAUGGUAUUUUUUUGG
rnacentral:lncRNA from 1 species